rnacentral:RNase_P_RNA from 1 species
CGAGUCAGCCGGGCGGCCGCGUCAGGCGCGUCGCGAGGCGCGACCUGCCGAGGAACGUCCGGGCUCCGCAGGGCGGGGUGGUGGGCAACACCCACCCGGGGCGACCCGCGGGACAGUGCCACAGAGAACAGACCGCCUCGCGACCUCCUCCGGGAGGUCGUGCGGCAAGGGUGAAACGGUGGUGCAAGAGACCACCAGCACCCCCGGUGACGGGGGUGGCUCGGCAAACCCCACCCGGAGCAAGGCCAGACAGGGAGCGCUCGAGGGCUGCCCGCCCGAGCUCCCGGGUAGGCCGCUACGGCGGCCGGACCACGGGCGCGAGCCCGGGGCCCGGCCGCGCGAGGACGUCGGCGACGGCGUCCCGAGAUGGAUGGCCGCCACCCGCGGCCGGGCGACCGGCCGCGGGGACAGGACCCGGCGUACAGGCUGACUCGUCCG